CUGUAAAAAUAACAUACUCCAGAUCUCGUUUGACUUUCCGAAUAGCCUGGUUGAACCUCGCGAACACCACCAUGGAUCAUGACAAUUUGUAAACACGUUUUAAUACAUGUAUUUCUGGACUAUGUCUAUGACUGUUUGUCGAAAUAUUUUUCAAGGUAAGAUGAAAGUUUGAUCACAAAUAACAGUGUGUUUUGGUCGAUACGCGUUGAAGCUUUAAGAAAAUGAAUUAACUGUAUUUAAA